rnacentral:rRNA from 1 species
UACGUAGGGGGCAAGCGUUGUCCGGAUUUAUUGGGCGUAAAGCGCUCGCAGGCGGCUCGAUGCGUCGUGCGUGAAGCACCCCGGCUCAACUGGGGAGGGUCGUGCGAUACGGUCGGGCUGGAGGCCAGUAGGGGGAUGCGGAAUUCCGGGUGUAGUGGUGGAAUGCGUAGAGAUCCGGAGGAACACCAGCGGCGAAGGCGGCUAUCUGGACGGUUUCUGGACGCUAGGCGACGCAAAGGCCAGGGGAGCAAGCGGG